rnacentral:rRNA from 1 species
UAGCGCGGUGGUCCCACCUGACCCCAUGCCGAACUCAGAAGUGAAACGCCGUAGCGCCGAUGGUAGUGUGGGGUCUCCCCAUGUGAGAGUAGGG